UACGGAGGGUGCAAGCGUUAUCCGGAUUCACUGGGUUUAAAGGGUGCGUAGGCGGGUGAGUAAGUCCGUGGUGAAAUCUCUGAGCUUAACUCAGAAACUGCCGUGGAUACUAUUUGCCUUGAAUAUUGUGGAGGUGAGCGGAAUAUGUCAUGUAGCGGUGAAAUGCUUAGAUAUGACAUAGAACACCAAUUGCGAAGGCAGCUCACUACACAAUCAUUGACGCUGAGGCACGAAAGCGUGGGGAUCAAACAGG
rnacentral:rRNA from 1 species